CAGUUCGGAUGCUUACACAUGCAAGUCGAACGGUCUCUUCGGAGAUAGUGGCGGACGGGUGAGUAACGCGUGAGAAUCUAGCUUCAGGUCGGGGACAACCACUGGAAACGGUGGCUAAUACCGGAUGUGCCGAAAGGUGAAAGAUUUAUUGCCUGAAGAUGAGCUCGCGUCUGAUUAGCUAGUUGGUGUGGUAAGAGCGCACCAAGGCGACGAUCAGUAGCUGGUCUGAGAGGAUGAUCAGCCACACUGGGACUGAGACACGGCCCAGACUCCUACGGGAGGCAGCAGUGGGGAAUUUUCCGCAAUGGGCGAAAGCCUGACGGAGCAAUACCGCGUGAGGGAGGAAGGCUCUUGGGUUGUAAACCUCUUUUCUCAGGGAAUAAAAAAAUGAAGGUACCUGAGGAAUAAGCAUCGGCUAACUCCGUGCCAGCAGCCGCGGUAAUACGGAGGAUGCAAGCGUUAUCCGGAAUGAUUGGGCGUAAAGCGUCCGCAGGUGGCACUGUAAGUCUGCUGUUAAAGAGCAAGGCUCAACCUUGUAAAGGCAGUGGAAACUACAGAGCUAGAGUACGUUCGGGGCAGAGGGAAUUCCUGGUGUAGCGGUGAAAUGCGUAGAACAUA
rnacentral:rRNA from 1 species